ACCUAGCGGCGGACGGGUGAGUAAUGCUUAGGAAUCUGCCUAUUAGUGGGGGACAACGUUCCGAAAGGAACGCUAAUACCGCAUACGCCCUACGGGGGAAAGCAGGGGAUCUUCGGACCUUGCGCUAAUAGAUGAGCCUAAGUCGGAUUAGCUAGUUGGUGGGGUAAAGGCCUACCAAGGCGACGAUCUGUAGCGGGUCUGAGAGGAUGAUCCGCCACACUGGGACUGAGACACGGCCCAGACUCCUACGGGAGGCAGCAGUGGGGAAUAUUGGACAAUGGGCGGAAGCCUGAUCCAGCCAUGCCGCGUGUGUGAAGAAGGCCUUUUGGUUGUAAAGCACUUUAAGCGAGGAGGAGGCUCCUUUAGUUAAUACCUAAAGAGAGUGGACGUUACUCGCAGAAUAAGCACCGGCUAACUCUGUGCCAGCAGCCGCGGUAAUACAGAGGGUGCGAGCGUUAAUCGGAUUUACUGGGCGUAAAGCGUGCGUAGGCGGCUUUUUAAGUCGGAUGUGAAAUCCCUGAGCUUAACUUAGGAAUUGCAUUCGAUACUGGAAAGCUAGAGUAUGGGAGAGGAUGGUAGAAUUCCAGGUGUAGCGGUGAAAUGCGUAGAGAUCUGGAGGAAUACCGAUGGCGAAGGCAGCCAUCUGGCCUAAUACUGACGCUGAGGUACGAAAGCAUGGGGAGCAAACAGGAUUAGAUACCCUGGUAGUCCAUGCCGUAAACGAUGUCUACUAGCCGUUGGGGCCUUUGAGGCUUUAGUGGCGCAGCUAACGCGAUAAGUAGACCGCCUGGGGAGUACGGUCGCAAGACUAAAACUCAAAUGAAUUGACGGGGGCCCGCACAAGCGGUGGAGCAUGUGGUUUAAUUCGAUGCAACGCGAAGAACCUUACCUGGCCUUGACAUACUAAGAACUUUCCAGAGAUGGAUUGGUGCCUUCGGGAACUUAGAUACAGGUGCUGCAUGGCUGUCGUCAGCUCGUGUCGUGAGAUGUUGGGUUAAGUCCCGCAACGAGCGCAACCCUUUUCCUUAUUUGCCAUCGGGUAAUGCCGGGAACUUUAAGGAUACUGCCAGUGACAAACUGGAGGAAGGCGGGGACGACGUCAAGUCAUCAUGGCCCUUACGGCCAGGGCUACACACGUGCUACAAUGGUCGGUACAAAGGGUUGCUACCUCGCGAG
rnacentral:rRNA from 1 species